UGCGUCGUCGUUGUACACACGCGCGAGCGCGAUACAUCAUAUUCCCGCGCUGUAUAUAGCUUGCAUGUGGUGCUCAGUGCAGCGGCACACACAUACGCAACGUUUUAUAUUAAAAAUACGUAAAAACUUGCUACGUAUCCGUGCAAAUCGUGCGCUUCCAGUGCGGUGUGCGGUCUGCCGAACGCCACUACUGUACUGCGGUGCGUUCUAUCGUAUAAAAAAAAAUAUAUAGAUAGUUACACCCUUCGUGCGGUGAGUGUGAGUUUUAUUUAUUUUCACGCGCGAUUCUCUUCGAUUCGAUUCGUUCGUCGUCGUCGUUGCAGUCGUGCAAAGUUUGGAAAUAAUUUUUGUAAAAUGUGAGCCAGUGUGAAUAGAUAAGUGGUAGUGAUAUGGUCAACGACGGUUAACAUUGAUAAUAAUAAUAAUAAUCGUCCGCAUCUUGGAUCGAUGAUCGUCGCCUCGCGUCGUUGCUGCCGUUACUGCGUUUUAAUAUAAAAAGAAACACGCGCGUGUGUGUGUGUGCAUUGUGUAUUCACUUGUGUGCGCCUUGAGCGAUGGCGCGAGUUUCUCGUUCGGAGUAAGAUAUCUCGAUUCGUCGGUGCAUUCUGAAAAAACAGGCAGCGAACAGCGAACGAACGACGAAAAUGGUCCUGCACGGGGUUAAUCAGAACGGCCUGCUCUCCUUCGAGAAUCCGAACUACCACCUGGACCCGGCGCGCCUCGACGACGCCCUCAACAGCAACGAGAGCAGCAGCGGCAGCAGCUCGCUCUACGACGAGCUCUAUCGCGAGCUCUGCGGCGUGCAUCGCAACAGCGGCGGCGAUCAGAGCGGCGGCAGUGCCCGGGGCGUCCAGGCCAGGCGCGCCUACGCCAGCCUGGACAUCGGCGGCAUGGGCGUGGACGUGACCCAGGGCCCGAUCAUCGUCAAGGACGACCCGGCGAGUCUCGACGCGGCGGACAACAGCGAGAAUCACAAUCUUGGUUACUGCGAGAAGGCCGACAGCAUAAUCGCGACGACAGACAUGGGCGGUAUGCCGCACGUGGAAGGCGUCAACAACGACAUUUACGCGGGCGUGCCGGUGAAGCGGCGACACCCCAAAGACAAGCUGCAGAUAAGCCAGCGCCAGAACAACGACAAGCAGCUGGACAAGGAGAACGACGAGGGCAACAACGCCGACUCGGAGAACAAGGAGGUGAAUCUGCCCCUGGGAUGGGAGAAGCACGAGGACAAAGAGGGCCCGUACUAUUGGCACAUCAAGAGCGGCACGAUUCAGCGCGAGGCGCCGGACGUGCACUUCUCGAAGAUCGAGGUGCGCCGAAGCUUCAUCAAGGAUUCCGACAGCAUAUGCAACUUUAACGCGCUGUCUGGGAGCCACUUUGGCACGGUGACGCGCAGCAACACGAGCUCGGCUCUGGACCAGGAGCUCGAGAACAAGCGCAAGGAGGAGCUCGCCCUAAAACGAAGAAGCUAUCCGGCGCGCGCCGACUCCGAGGACAGAAACAAGCCGAUCAGAUUCGCGGUGCGCUCGCUCGGCUGGACGGAGAUCGCCGAGGAGGACCUCACCCCGGAGCGCAGCAGCAAGGCCGUCAACAAGUGCAUCGUCGAUCUGUCGCUGGGCAGGAACGAUCUGCUCGACGUCGUGGGACGAUGGGGCGACGGUAAGGACUUGUUCAUGGACUUGGACGAGGGCGCGCUGAAGCUCAUCGAUCCGGAGAAUCUGACGGUGCUGAACACGCAGCCGAUUCACACGCUGCGCGUCUGGGGCGUCGGACGAGAUCACGGACGCGAAAGGGACUUCGCUUACGUGGCGCGCGACCGCACGACGCGCAAGCACAUGUGCCACGUGUUCCGCUGCGACAUACCGGCGCGCACGAUAGCCAACACGCUGCGCGACAUCUGCAAGAAGAUCAUGAUCGAGCGCUCGCUCCAUCAGAAUCUGGCCAGGCCCGUGGACGUGCACGGCCGCGCCGGUCUGGCGGCGAGGCCCACGAAUCUGCCCACCGAGCACAGGCGCUUCCAUCAUCGCAACGGACCGGCGCCACUUGUGCAAUCCUUCCCGACGCCCAUGGAGGAGCCGAAGAAGAUCCUGCGCGCCCAGUAUCUCGGCUCGAUGCAGGUGGCCCAGGCGACGGGCAUGGACGUGCUCAACGACGCCAUCGACCAGCUGGUCCAGAGCCAGCCCCAGUCGCAGUGGCGCGACGUCAACGUCGCCGUGGCGCCGAGCAUGAUAUCCAUACUGGCGCCGGCGGCGGCGAGCGACGGCAGCGGCAGCGGCGGCGACAAGCUCAUAGCCGAGUGCCGAGUGAGAUACCUGUCGUUUCUGGGCAUCGGCCAGAACGCCAAGCAGUGCGCCUUCAUCAUGCACACGGCCCAGGAUCUGUUCAUCGCGCACGUGUUCAACUGCGAGCCGAGCAGCGGCAGCCUCUGCAAAACGAUCGAGGCUGCUUGCAAGCUGAGGUACCAGAAAUGCCUGGACGCCCACCCGGCGGGCUUUCGCAGUCAGAGCGCGAGCGCCGGCAGCACGCCCCAGACGGCGCGCGGCUUGAGCCUGGCCACCCUCAAGUCGCUCGUCGGCAAUCUGACCGGGCGUAAAAACAGCAACAGCACGACCACGACUACGACGACGACGAACGAGAAGCUGUCGGCGAGCAACGAGUCCUGAGACGAAGCUCUAACGCUGCAGGUGUGUAGAACAAAGCAAGCUUUGAUGACUUUAAAGAGCUGCGUCGCCGCCGCCGCCGCUCGUGCCGCUUCUUCUUCUUCUACCGCUACCACCGCUACCACUGCUACUUCUACCACUACUGCUGCUGCUGCUGCUACUACUUGUGCUACUUCUUUCGCCUGCGCGGCGGAGCGCUUGAUCCAGCGGCGCUCCUCCUCGUUGUCCAUGAUGAUGAACCACGGCGUCGAGACCGCGCCAUCCAUGAGAACUGGCAGACGGAUCGUUGCGAGCUUACGAUAGGAACUUUGGCCGCUGGUAACUGCCGAGCGCGAGGUCAUACGCCACAGGCAUUUGCAGUCACCCAUGACCGUAAAAUACAUCGGUGGAGGAGGAGAAGGCGGAGCAGCGUCACCACCGAGUGCCUCGCUGAAAUCGCUACUCUCGCCCACCCUCGACACGACGACGAGGCGCCUGCAACUCGUGGCGGCCCGCUGGGAGAGCAGUCGUUCUUAGGAAAAAGAAUAAAUAAAAUAAAA